GACGAACGCUGGCGGCGUGCUUAACACAUGCAAGUCGAGCGGUAAGGCCCUUUCGGGGGUACACGAGCGGCGAACGGGUGAGUAACACGUGGGUGACCUGCCCUCAACUCUGGGAUAAGCCCUGGGAAACCGGGUCUAAUACUGGAUAUGACUCCAUGACGCAUGUUGUGGGGUGGAAAGCCUUGUGCGGCUGAGGAUGGGCCCGCGGCCUAUCAGCUUGUUGGUGGGGUGAUGGCCUACCAAGGCGACGACGGGUAGCCGGCCUGAGAGGGCGACCGGCCACACUGGGACUGAGACACGGCCCAGACUCCUACGGGAGGCAGCAGUGGGGAAUCUUGCGCAAUGGGCGAAAGCCCUGACGCAGCGACGCCGCGUGAGGGAUGACGGCCUCGGUU
rnacentral:rRNA from 1 species